AGCCCUAAAAGACCUGCCACCCACACUCAAGCUACCACCGCAAGAAGGCUUACGAGAAAAUCCAAGAGAUUUGUUCAGCCCUAAAAGACCUGCCAUCCCUAGAGGUUCUGAUCUCUAUCCAACUCUUCUUUUCUUCAAAAGAGAUUUGUUUUCUUAAAUUUUUGCUCUCAUUCAUCAACAGAGAGUUUGUUGAGGCAUCUCCAGGUUGAAGCUAACUUAAGUCUCAUCUCCUUUAUACUAGGUAAGAUUAAUGUUAUAUACUUGUUUAUUAAUUUAUUUAUUUGUCAAGUAAAAGAUAAAUUGGGAAUAAAUUAUUGGGGUAGCUAAUUCUACUAAUUUAUAUGUUUCUUUACUCUUUGUGAAGGUAAUCAGGUAAAUUAAAGCAAAGACCUCGAAUAGAUUUUUUGUCGGCCUUCCUAAAUAUGUUUUUAAUUUCAAUCAGGAUAAUUCUCUCUAAUUAGUUUACAAAUCGCCAUGGUCUGUGAUUACGACUUUAGACUUUUGUUGAUUAGUAGAUUGUUGAUUUCUUUGUUUUGUUUUUGUUUUGUUGUCGUUUCUUUGCCGAUUAGUGUAUCUUUAGGCUUCAGGCGUUAGUGUGUUGUUAAUAUUGUGGAGUCUUCAUUCUUGAAGCAAUUCUCAUUAGAUGUAAUAACUUUAAAGUUAGGAAGAUGAAACAAUCGACCCUUGAGAACUUUGGUAUGAAUGCUUCUGCUUUCUAUUAUUCAUCUCUUAGUUUCUUACUUUGAGUCAAUAGAAAGUUAAUAUGACAAGCAAGCGCCUCGCGAUCUUGGUUUUCAUAUCUGUUUAGAAUGACAAAUAAGUUACUACCUUCAUCCAAAAUAUAGCCAUUUUACAUUCUUUAAACAUAAACAUGUGAUGUCAAGAACACAAAUGAAUGAACAUAUUACAAGUAUUCUCUAUUUCACCUAGCCUAAUAUGUACACAAGUUCUUUCAUAUUUUCUUGCUUUAUGAUCUUAUACACAAAGUUAUAGGUUUGGGAUUUCCUUUCCUUGAAUCCUGCAGUUGAAAACAUAAGCAGUACUUCUAUUUUCAGGUCCAGGAAGCAAAUUACUACUGGGAUUGCUUGAGGAGCC
rnacentral:lncRNA from 1 species